rnacentral:rRNA from 1 species
AACCCGACUACAUGAAGCUGGAAUCGCUAGUAAUCGCGGAUCAGAAUGCCGCGGUGAAUACGUUCCCGGGUCUUGUACACACCGCCCGUCACACCAUGGGAGCCGGAAAUGCCCGAAGUCAGUGACCCAACCAAUAAGGAGGGAGCUGCCGAAGGCAGGUCUGGUGACUGGGGUGAAGUCGUAACAAGGUAGC